UUAAACACCGGUUCCUUUACGAUCACCGAAGUUAAGCAACAUCGAGCCUGGUCAGUACCUAGAUGGGUGACCACUUGGAAAUACGACGUGUUGUAAG